rnacentral:rRNA from 1 species
CCUACGACCCACAAAUCACCCUGAAAGCACCAGAUCCCGUCGGAUCUCAGAAGCCAAGCAGGUCUUUAGCCUGGUUAGUAUGCGGACGGCGGACUGCCCGGGAAUACCGGCUGCUCAGGC